rnacentral:rRNA from 1 species
GAGUGAACGCUGGCGGUAGGCCUAACACAUGCAAGUCGAACGGCAGCACAGUAAGAGCUUGCUCUUACGGGUGGCGAGUGGCGGACGGGUGAGGAAUACAUCGGAAUCUACUUUUUCGUGGGGGAUAACGUAGGGAAACUUACGCUAAUACCGCAUACGACCUACGGGUGAAAGCAGGGGAUCUUCGGACCUUGCGCGAUUGAAUGAGCCGAUGUCGGAUUAGCUAGUUGGCGGGGUAAAGGCCCACCAAGGCGACGAUCCGUAGCUGGUCUGAGAGGAUGAUCAGCCACACUGGAACUGAGACACGGUCCAGACUCCUACGGGAGGCAGCAGUGGGGAAUAUUGGACAAUGGGCGCAAGCCUGAUCCAGCCAUACCGCGUGGGUGAAGAAGGCCUUCGGGUUUUAAAGCCCUUUUGUUGGGAAAGAAAAGCAGCAGGUUAAUACCCCGCUGUUCUGACGGUACCCAAAGAAUAAGCACCGGCUAACUUCGUG